GGGCCCUCACCCUCUCUUCCCUUCUCCUCCAAGAGCCACCUUCUCAGACCUUCAUCUUCAUCAUCAUGGGCAUCGCUGGGGGCCUGGUUCUGCUGGGAGCCGUGGCUGGAGCUGUGAUGUGGGGGAGGAGACGCUCAGGUGGAAAAGGAGGGAGCUACACUCAGGCUGCCAGCGGUGACAGUACCCAGGGCUCUGAUAUGUCUCUCUUGGCUUCCAAAGGUGAGACCCUGCCGUGGGGAGGGGAGGGUAGAGGGGAGGACUGGGUGGUGGGGAGUCUGUGGGACACUGUGAGCAUGAAGUGGGCUGUGAGAAUGUCACCAGUUACAGCCACUGACCUGAAUGUGUUCAUGAUGCUUGUCCUCCACAGCGUGAGGCA